rnacentral:rRNA from 1 species
AGCCAACCUUGAAAUACCACCCUGAUUUAUUUGAGGUUCUAACCUUGAUCCGUGAAUCCGGAUCGGGGACCGUGCAUGGUGGGCAGUUUGACUGGGGCGGUCUCCUCCCAAAAGGUAACGGAGGAGUACGAAGGUACGCUUAGGGCGGUCGGACAUCGCCCAUAAAGUGCAAUGGCAAAAGCGUGCUUGACUGCGAGACCCACAAGUCGAGCAGGUGCGAAAGCAGGUCAUAGUGAUCCGGUGGUUCUGUAUGGAAGGGCCAUCGCUCAACGGAUAAAAGGUACUCUGGAUAACAGGCUGAUACCGCCCAAGAGUUCAUAUCGACGGCGGUGUUUGGCACCUCGAUGUCGGCUCAUCUCAUCCUGGGGCUGUAGCCGGUCCCAAGGGUAUGGCUGUUCGCCAUUUAAAGAGGUACGUGAGCUGGGUUUAAAACGUCGUGAGACAGUUUGGUCCCUAUCUGCCGUGGGCGCUGGAUAUUUGAAGGGGGCUGGCUCCUAGUACGAGAGGACCGGAGUGGACGAACCUCUGGUGUACCGGUUA